rnacentral:lncRNA from 1 species
GUGCAAUUUGUAGAGGCUGCAGCACACGAGAGUGAACAGCAGAAAGAGGCUUCUUGGAAACAUAACCAGGAAUUGCGAAAAGCCUUGCAGCAGCUACAAGAAGUAUUGCAGAAUAAGAGCCAACAGCUUCGUGCCUGGGAGGCUGAAAAAUACAAUGAGAUUCGAACCCAGGAACAAAACAUCCAGCACCUAAACCAUAGUCUGAGUCACAAGGAGCAGUUGCUUCAGGAAUUUCGGGAGCUCCUACAGUAUCGAGAUAACUCAGACAAAACCCUUGAAGCAAAUGAAAUGUUGCUUGAGAAACUUCGCCAGCGAAUACGUGAUAAAGCUGUUGCUCUGGAGCGGGCUAUAGAUGAAAAAUUCUCUGCUCUAGAAGAGAAAGAAAAAGAACUGCGCCAGCUUCGUCUUGCUGUGAGAGAGCGAGAUCAUGACCUAGAGAGACUGCGCGAUGUCCUCUCCUCCAAUGAAGCUACUAUGCAAACUAUGGAGAGUCUCCUGAGGGCCAAAGGCCUGGAAGUGGAACAGUUAUCUACUACCUGUCAAAACCUCCAGUGGCUGAAAGAAGAAAUGGAAACCAAAUUUAGCCGUUGGCAGAAGGAACAAGAGAGUAUCAUUCAGCAGUUACAGACGUCUCUUCAUGAUAGGAACAAAGAAGUGGAGGAUCUUAGUGCAACAUUGCUCUGCAAACUUGGACCAGGGCAGAGUGAGAUAGCAGAGGAGCUGUGCCAGCGUCUACAGUGAAAGGAAAGGAUGCUGCAGGACCUUCUAAGUGAUCGAAAUAAACAAGUGCUGGAACAUGAAAUGGAGAUUCAAGGCCUGCUUCAGUCUGUGAGCACCAGGGAGCAGGAAAGCCAAGCUGCUGCAGAGAAGUUGGUGCAAGCCUUAAUGGAAAGAAAUUCAGAAUUACAGGCCCUGCACCAAUAUUUAGGAGGGAGAGACUCCCUGAUGUCCCAAGCACCCAUCUCUAACCAACAAGCUGAAGUUACCCCCACUGGCCGUCUUGGAAAACAGACUGAUCAAGGUUCAAUGCAGAUACCUUCCAGAGAUGAUAGCACUUCAUUGACUGCCAAAGAGGAUGUCAGCAUACCCAGAUCCACAUUAGGAGACUUGGACACAGUUGCAGGGCUGGAAAAAGAACUGAGUAAUGCCAAAGAGGAACUUGAACUCAUGGCUAAAAAAGAAAGAGAAAGUCAGCUUUACCCCUCAAACAUGGGAGAAAAAGUUUCAGCAUUUUAAUUCAAAUUGGUAAAAGGCUGAGCAACCCUUAAAGCUGCCAUAAUGGAAGAAGACUGUGAGCUAGCUUAAAAAAGAGAGAAUGAAGGGGAAGAAACAAAACCCCUGUGUGGCAGAGUGUCGAGAUGAGAUGAGCAUUUAUUUGUCUCCGUCGAAUUCCUUACGGAGAUAAGGUGCAGCUGCAGGGGAUGACACCGAAGAUACAAGCACUGAGUUCACUGACAGUAUUGAGGAGGAGGCUGCACACCAUAGUCACCAGCAAGUAAGUCAGUGUCAGGGUCUGGGACUUCCAGGGUGGACAGCACACAGCCCUUCUGAGGUCUGAUAGUCUCCUGCAGCCCUUGCGGACUUAGUGAGAAGAUAUCUUUUUACAUAAACUACUUCUCAGUCAUCUACCUGUUCUCCUUGAACUUCCCAGCUGCCUUUCCAACCCAUAUCUUCACUCCAUUUUUCUCUCCAAUCCACCCUUUGGUUUGUAUUGUAUCUCUUUCUUCUGCUUCCUUCCCCCUCCUACCCACCUUUGCCCCUAUUUAUUCUCUGUAGCUAUAGCUUCAGAAGCAUUUUUACUUGCAAGACGAUGGACACAUUCCCCUUGGGCUUUUUGUAACUGAAAUGCACCACAGAAGACAGGGAGUCAUCGAAGGGCUGCUCGGGGAGGUGGCAGGGCGGAGGAACUGCUUGGGAAGAAACUCCAAGAAGAUUGGAAUGCUUCCAAAGCAAGAAUCUUUCUCAGUGAAAUCUCAUUAUACAAAGAGAACCUUAUGCAACCUGACAAACCACUGAGGUCAUGGUGACUCAGUGAUCAGCAGAUGGUACUUCAACAGCAAUCCCCUGUCAAACCUCAGAACUUGAGGCUGAAACAUUGCUUCCACCCACCAUCAGUGAAGAUGUAACUAGCAUGUUACAAGAGUGAAUAAUCUGGACUUCAGAGAUUAAGUCACCAAUAGUGAUCUCACAAGUACUCACCGGAACUCCUAUAAUGUCUCCACUUUGUCCAUGCCAUUUAGCAAUCUCAUCUCCUAAAUGGACUGUGCCUAUGAUUCUUAAGGAGAAAGUGAAUCAUUGGUAGAUAUCCUGCACAAGCAGCUGGACUUUCCAGUAAUAGCUUUCUUGGGGCUAUUAGGAAAAUUAAACAAGAAAUGAGGCUUUCUGGGUCUGCCUGUAUGUCUUCUGCAUAAGAAAAAGAAGAGACAUCGAAUCAACCAAUAAGAAGAGCCCAAAUAAGCAUCCUCAAAUCUUUUGGGAUUUGGCACUUGGGGACAUGAGUAGUUGUCUGGGAUACGUCAUAUUCUCAACAGUUUCUUUGUAGUAGUAGGAUCACCUUCUUAUAAUAGGAUCACCUUCUUGUUGCUAUAGCUGUACCCGACCUUCCCUUCUCCCUUGAGUGCUUGCAUGAGCUCCACUUUUCCUUUUGCUUGAACAGCUUCUCCUGAGUCCUCCUUACCGAUGGUUGUGACUUUAAUUAUAUACAUCUCUGUCCCUCCAGACAGAUCCCUCUGUCCUCACUCUCUGAUUUCAUUGAGGAUCUUGGGUGAGAGAGAGGGACCUGCAGGAUGAACAAAUGUCUACUCUAAGACAGCUAGAUUGGGAGGUUGGCUGGUCACUGAUGGUUAUAAUGACUGUGGGACAGGAUUAACUUCAGAAUAAAUGAACAGGAGACACAGAUAUGAAGAAAGUUUCUGAUUGAUAUGGUCUGAAGUACUCCUGGUAUUGCAAGUCAUUUGCUCUAAUUCUCAAUUGUAGGCAAACUGAUUUGUAAAUUUGCUUCUUCAGCCUUCUUUCCUGUAGCCUAGCAUGGAGAAUCUGACCAGACCCCAUUUUGAGAAGGUCAGCCUACACUGGAAUGAACUUUUUACAUUAGGGCAUUUGUAUUUCCCUCACAAUACUUGCCACAUUACUUGGCAUAGGAGAGAUGCUUAGUGUAAUUAUGAGUUAACAAGCCUUUGGAUCAGGGCUUGACUCAUGAUAGACAAAGUAUAUGCCUGCUGGAUGGAAGAAUCUCUUGGGCGAGCACCAUUUUUCUUUCCAUCACCUUUCCUUGAAAAUAUAUCUUCAGCUUUGGGUAGGAGGAAUCUUGGUGUAUGAAAUCAUUGCAAAUUUACUUCAUCUUUUCUGGAGUUUGAAGUUGUGACUCUCCUGCUACCAAUUAAAUAAAGCUUACUUUGCCAUAA